rnacentral:rRNA from 1 species
UACAGAGGUCUCAAGCGUUGUUCGGAUUCAUUGGGCGUAAAGGGUGCGUAGGCGGCGCGGUAAGUCGGGUGUGAAAUCUCGGAGCUUAACUCGAAGUCUGCACGAGAAACUAUCUGGCUUGAGUGUGGGAGAGGUGAGUGGAAUUCCUGGUGUAGCGGUGAAAUGCGUAGAUAUCAGGAGGAACACCUGUGGCGAAAGCGGCUCACUGGACCACAACUGACGCUGAGGCGCGAAAGCUAGGGGAGCAAACAGG